rnacentral:rRNA from 1 species
UACGUAGGGUGCGAGCGUUAAUCGGAAUUACUGGGCGUAAAGCGUGCGUAGGCGGUGAUGUAAGACAGUUGUGAAAUCCCCGGGCUCAACCUGGGAACUGCAUCUGUGACUGCAUCGCUGGAGUGGCGGCAGAGGGGGAUGGAAUUCCGCGUGUAGCAGUGAAUGCGUAGAUAUGCGGAGGAACACCGAUGGCGAAGGCAAUCCCCUGGGCCUGCACUGACGCUCGAUGCACGAAAGCGUGGGGAGC